ACAACUAUCCUAUCAACUCCAACAAACUUCUAAGCUAGGGAUAGUAGUUUAGUUCAAUCACUCUCGUUACUAGCUUUGACUUCAUAUAUCCUUUACAAACUGCCUUUUGUAUGAUCAAUCUAAGUACCACUUGUGGAUUUAUUUUUUUUUAAAAAAAAAAAAUUAUGCCCAUCCGAGCGUUUUAUUAAUAUGCAGAAAAUAAAAUAGAGUUUAAAAAGGCCCAACCCAUAAUCGGGUCAGGCCCAAAAUAAAAGCAACAAAAAUAAAAAAUCCAAAAGAAAUAAACUUUGUCCACUUUCCUAAAUGGAACCCUAUUUAUCAGGUGACUUCUCUCUCUCUUUAUCCACGCUUCUCACUGUAUCUGGUCGCCGGUGUUGGUGUGAAGGUGCAUACCAUACGAUGUUAUGCUGAUGGUUCAUUUCUUAUUCACACCUCUAGAUGUGGAGUUCUUCAUUGCCUCGUAUCUCUAUCUUCAGUCCGAGCUCAUCUCGUUAGUUGGACCUCCAUAGCUUCUGGUACACCAGAUGAGCCACAGUUAUCAUAGAAGAUGUUCCAGCGGAGUUGGCGGGCUCCACUUGUUCUGGAGUGCUGCCGAGUCAGAGUAUAUGAGCUAUGGUGUUUGUUCAAUGUUAGAGACUUUGCAGACAGAGUCGUGGGUAUAGAGUGUCAGUAUUGGUAGACGGCUUCACCAGUCAAAUGCUAUUACUGUGUUUCAUGUCACGGGUCCCACAGAUGAUAGACUUUACAUAUGAAGAAAAAAAAUUGAGA